UAGAGUUUGAUCCUGGCUCAGAUUGAACGCUGGCGGCAGGCUUAACACAUGCAAGUCGAGCGGUAACAGGAGAAGCUUGCUUCUCGCUGACGAGCGGCGGACGGGUGAGUAAUACUUAGGAAUCUACCUAGUAGUGGGGGAUAGCUCGGGGAAACUCGAAUUAAUACCGCAUACGACCUACGGGAGAAAGGGGGCAACUUGUUGCUCUCGCUAUUAGAUGAGCCUAAGUCGGAUUAGCUAGAUGGUGGGGUAAAGGCCUACCAUGGCGACGAUCUGUAGCUGGUCUGAGAGGAUGAUCAGCCACACCGGGACUGAGACACGGCCCGGACUCCUACGGGAGGCAGCAGUGGGGAAUAUUGGACAAUGGGGGCAACCCUGAUCCAGCCAUGCCGCGUGUGUGAAGAAGGCCUUUUGGUUGUAAAGCACUUUAAGCAGUGAAGAAGACUCCAUGGUUAAUACCCAUGGACGAUGACAUUAGCUGCAGAAUAAGCACCGGCUAACUCUGUGCCAGCAGCCGCGGUAAU
rnacentral:rRNA from 1 species